UACGAAGGGGGCUAGCGUUGCUCGGAAUUACUGGGCGUAAAGGGCGCGUAGGCGGACAGUUAAGUCAGAGGUGAAAGCCCAGGGCUCAACCCUGGAAUAGCCUUUGAUACUGGCUGUCUUGAGUGCGGGAGAGGUGUGUGGAACUCCGAGUGUAGAGGUGAAAUUCGUAGAUAUUGGGAAGAACACCGGUGGCGAAGGCGGCCAUCUGGACGGACACUGACGCUGAGGCGCGAAGGCCAGGGGAGCAAACGGG
rnacentral:rRNA from 1 species